rnacentral:tRNA from 1 species
GCCUCGGUAGCUCAGCUGGUUAGAGCGUUGCCUUGGUAAGGCAAAGGUCGAGGGUUCAAAUCCCUCCCGAGGCUCCA